AUCCUGGUGGCCUAGUGGUUAGAGCAUCUGCCUUGGAUGGAUAAGGUCGUGGGUUUGAACACCAGUUGAGUCAUA